GAUGUCAAAGACAUCCUGUCAAAAGCCAAGAACUAUGAACACACAUUAAAUCUGAUGAAGUGAGAAGACUCCCAUUUUGAUAAUCCUUUUAUCUUCACUCUCCAACUAAAGUUAAGGAAGAAAGAACUAUUGGUAUUCAAUAAAGAAUGAUGGGAACCCCCGCUUUCACUUGCUCUGACCCCACAUAGGAAGAGAAGUAAGUCAAAGAAAGUCAUAAUGACACAUAGUUUUCAUUACUAUGUGAUAUUUCAAAGUUAAAGGAGAGAGGUAAUACAGAGGGUAUACUCUCUCUUAGACUCAUAUCUUUUCACAAGGUUCCCAACCAGGAUAUGAUUAUAGAAGGACUAUCCUCUCUUCUAGGGACCACAUUGUAUUCGUAGGAAAAUUCUAGUAGACGUUGACAUUGUGAUUCUGUGUAUUUAAAUGUUGUAGCUUUGUUUUAGGCAUAAGUAAUUGAAUCUGGCUGUAACCCAGCCUGUAUCAGAUUACUUCACUGGAGUUGAGUGGGUUUAGAACUCACCUCUCCUCUCUUUGGGUCCUAUGGUGGGAGCUGCACACUCUUGUUGAGACAAAGAAGAUGACCUAAGAUAUGUUUCUAAGUUGUGAGUUAUUUUUACACAACCUUGUGAUAAGGAGUAUGAUCUUUACAAAAGGAGCAAUGGUCUUUAUUAAAUAGGUUGUCUAAGAGUAUUACUGGAGAAGGGUGUCUUUGGUGACUGUAUUGUUGGUUAUAUCUGACUCUAAUUCACGGGAUAUUGCUUUGAGAAAACUAUUGCUAAUAGUCCCUAGACUAUCAGUGACAUUUCCUGUGUUAUUAAUCAUAGAAAAGCUGCCAUAAUUUCAAUGUACACAUCUUCCUUGACUUAUGAUAGGGUUAUGUCCUGAUAAAACCCUGAUAAAUGUUGUAAGUUGAAAAUAUCAUUAGUUGAAAAUGCAUUUAAUAUACCUAACCUACUGAACAGCAUAGCUUAGCCUAGUCUUUUGAAUGUGCUCAGAACACUUACAUUAGCCUGCAGUUGGGCAAAAUCAUCUAAUGCAACGCCUAUUUUAUAAUUAAAUGUUGAGUAUUUCAUGUAAUUUAUUGGAUGUUGUGUUAAAAGUGAAAAACAGAAUAGUUGUGUGGGUGCAGCAUGGUUGUAAAUGUAUCAGUUGUUUACCUUCAUGAUCCCAUGGCUGACAGAGCUCUGACUCACUGCCAUUGCCGAGCAUCACUAGAAAGGAUUGGACUGCAUGUUACUAGCCUGGGAAAAGAUCAAAAUUCAAAAUUCAAAAUAAAGUUUCUACUAAAUGUGUAUCACUUUCACACUAUCAUAAAGCUGAAAAAUCAUAAGUCAAACCAUUGUAAGUUGGGGACCAUCUGUACAGUAAGUGGCAUAUAACUAACAUUCUUGUUUAUAUGUGGAUUUCACAUGUUUUAUCUUUUGGCUUAUUGGACAUAGGUCAGUGAAAAGUAAGCAUUGUUAGCACUAGGGAGUUUUCCACAUGUUAUGUCUUUAAACUCAAUGAAUCACUGUAACAUCCAAACUGGCAUUGUACUAUUUAUACUGUCUAAUCAGGAAUAUAAUUUCACAACAUCGAAUUUGCAACACAACCAUAGCAUUGCAAUUUAGCACACAUUUUGUUAAUGUGCUUUGUAUCCCAUUAAAGUCUCAUCUUCACAGCCCAGUGCCAUAUGUUACCGGGUCUAGAGUAAACCUCUUACUUAAAGAGGAAAUAAAUGGGAGUAAAAUUACAAUGUGACAUAUGCUAUUGGUUACCUACCAACAACCAGUCCUCUCUUCUUCCCUGAUCAAACCCCAAUUUUGUUCAAGUUUGGGAAAAAUGUGCUCAGGAAAGAUGAGUUCACUUCUAGCUCAGGUAUGAAAUAUGAAGGAUAUCGCCAUAGUAUCAUUCCCCUUUCAACCAGAGAUUCAUUUGGAAUUUGUAUGUAACUGAGUUUUGGCCAAGAGGACAUGAAAAAAAAUCUGUUUUAAGGCUUCUGGAAAAAGUAUUUUUCCUGAUAAAGAAAUACGCGUUAAGGAGAAAACUCCUCAGUUCCCUUUCCUUUCCAGCCUUUGGAUGUUGUUAUGAGGAUUUAAUGCAUAGAGUUACUGCUGCCUAAGGGGUUGGGGAUGAGGAAGAUUGUGACAGGCAGAGCAAGGCAAGGUUACUUGCCAGAGGUUAGAACGAGUUUAGGUACUUUAAGGCAUUGUUAGGCUGCUGAGCCAAUGCUUAGAUCUGUUUCUCGCUGGAUUUCCUCCUGAAUGUCAUAAUAAAUGUCCUUAUUGUUUAAGCCACA